rnacentral:lncRNA from 1 species
CAGACAUCACACUACAAGCACUUUAUGAGGUUUCAAUGUCUCCUUCUCUCUGCUCCCACCACCCCCACUCACAUUUCUUUACACUGUGUUUUGCAUGAUAAUCCCCUGAGUGUUCAACGUGAUUUUUUUUUAAGCCUGAAGAAAAACACUUUCUCUCUUCUCUUCACUUUUAGUUAUCAAAGCACUGAAGCACUUGAUUCAAAAGCAAAACAAAAGCAAACACAUGAGGCCAAAGUACGCCCUCCAUGGAAAGGAGCCGUGCAUGUGGAUUAAAAGACUGAGUUGGUUAACAGGAAGAAAAUGACAUGGAUUUUUUAGAACAGUCAGAAGAGAAAAUUUGUCAUGCAGUACAAGGGAGUGGAUUUCCUGAGGAACUCGUGAAGUCCCAUCUCCUUCCCUCCUCAUGCGACUGAAUCUUGCCAACUGGAGUGGAGGGAAGUCAGACAGACAGCGUUUCAAGUGCCUUAUCCACUCCUCAUAUGCUCUCUUUGAAGUUUUUCUUUCACUCAUCAGUGGUAGGAUAUAAAACAGAGCAAGGGCUAUGUGUGGAUACAGUGAGAAGGCAGCCGUCUAUCUCCAAGCCAUGAAGAGAGGCCUCACCAGAAACUAAACCUACUGGCAUCUUGAUCUUGGACUUCAAGCCUCCAGAACUUCACACAAUCCAGGAAAUUGUGAAUGAUCCUGUUGUAAAGAAGACUCUGGUUACCAAGAAUUCUUCAUGCAUGGAGACAAGUAUUUCUUUGGAGAAGGAUACACGGCUAGUCGUGUGGCCUGAGCACAUCACUGGGCUCCUGCAGUCUUUUCUGAAGUCUGGUGUGGGACUUCAGAGGAGACUUCAGGAGAGUUGAGCUUCACCAUUAAAUACUGAUCUUUACAGCAGUUUCAUUAACUUCUGUAGAGAUAAAUUACAUCCUUAUUUACUUGGCAAUCUUAGAACGUUGGGUAAUUAGAGUCUACCUUACUUUACCUUCUGCCAUGUCUGUGAUUUUAUAGGAUGGUGUUGGGGCUAAAUAAAAAUGAAUGGAC